rnacentral:rRNA from 1 species
GGUUAAGCGACUAAGCGUACACGGUGGAUGCCCUGGCAGUCAGAGGCGAUGAAGGACGUGCUAAUCUGCGAUAAGCGUCGGUAAGGUGAUAUGAACCGUUAUAACCGGCGAUUUCCGAAUGGGGAAACCCAGUGUGUUUCGACACACUAUCAUUAACUGAAUCCAUAGGUUAAUGAGGCGAACCGGGGGAACUGAAACAUCUAAGUACCCCGAGGAAAAGAAAUCAACCGAGAUUCCCCCAGUAGCGGCGAGCGAACGGGGAGCAGCCCAGAGCCUGAAUCAGUGUGUGUGUUAGUGGAAGCGUCUGGAAAGGCGCGCGAUACAGGGUGACAGCCCCGUACACAAAAAUGCACAUGCUGUGAGCUCGAUGAGUAGGGCGGGACACGUGGUAUCCUGUCUGAAUAUGGGGGGACCAUCCUCCAAGGCUAAAUACUCCUGACUGACCGAUAGUGAACCAGUACCGUGAGGGAAAGGCGAAAAGAACCCCGGCGAGGGGAGUGAAAAAGAACCUGAAACCGUGUACGUACAAGCAGUGGGAGCACGCUUAGGCGUGUGACUGCGUACCUUUUGUAUAAUGGGUCAGCGACUUAUAUUCUGUAGCAAGGUUAACCGAAUAGGGGAGCCGAAGGGAAACCGAGUCUUAACUGGGCGUUAAGUUGCAGGGUAUAGACCCGAAACCCGGUGAUCUAGCCAUGGGCAGGUUGAAGGUUGGGUAACACUAACUGGAGGACCGAACCGACUAAUGUUGAAAAAUUAGCGGAUGACUUGUGGCUGGGGGUGAAAGGCCAAUCAAACCGGGAGAUAGCUGGUUCUCCCCGAAAGCUAUUUAGGUAGCGCCUCGUGAAUUCAUCUCCGGGGGUAGAGCACUGUUUCGGCAAGGGGGUCAUCCCGACUUACCAACCCGAUGCAAACUGCGAAUACCGGAGAAUGUUAUCACGGGAGACACACGGCGGGUGCUAACGUCCGUCGUGAAGAGGGAAACAACCCAGACCGCCAGCUAAGGUCCCAAAGUCAUGGUUAAGUGGGAAACGAUGUGGGAAGGCCCAGACAGCCAGGAUGUUGGCUUAGAAGCAGCCAUCAUUUAAAGAAAGCGUAAUAGCUCACUGGUCGAGUCGGCCUGCGCGGAAGAUGUAACGGGGCUAAACCAUGCACCGAAGCUGCGGCAGCGACACUAUGUGUUGUUGGGUAGGGGAGCGUUCUGUAAGCCUGUGAAGGUGUGCUGUGAGGCAUGCUGGAGGUAUCAGAAGUGCGAAUGCUGACAUAAGUAACGAUAAAGCGGGUGAAAAGCCCGCUCGCCGGAAGACCAAGGGUUCCUGUCCAACGUUAAUCGGGGCAGGGUGAGUCGACCCCUAAGGCGAGGCCGAAAGGCGUAGUCGAUGGGAAACAGGUUAAUAUUCCUGUACUUGGUGUUACUGCGAAGGGGGACGGAGAAGGCUAUGUUGGCCGGGCGACGGUUGUCCCGGUUUAAGCGUGUAGGCUGGUUUUCCAGGCAAAUCCGGAAAAUCAAGGCUGAGGCGUGAUGACGAGGCACUACGGUGCUGAAGCAACAAAUGCCCUGCUUCCAGGAAAAGCCUCUAAGCAUCAGGUAACAUCAAAUCGUACCCCAAACCGACACAGGUGGUCAGGUAGAGAAUACCAAGGCGCUUGAGAGAACUCGGGUGAAGGAACUAGGCAAAAUGGUGCCGUAACUUCGGGAGAAGGCACGCUGAUAUGUAGGUGAGGUCCCUCGCGGAUGGAGCUGAAAUCAGUCGAAGAUACCAGCUGGCUGCAACUGUUUAUUAAAAACACAGCACUGUGCAAACACGAAAGUGGACGUAUACGGUGUGACGCCUGCCCGGUGCCGGAAGGUUAAUUGAUGGGGUUAGCGCAAGCGAAGCUCUUGAUCGAAGCCCCGGUAAACGGCGGCCGUAACUAUAACGGUCCUAAGGUAGCGAAAUUCCUUGUCGGGUAAGUUCCGACCUGCACGAAUGGCGUAAUGAUGGCCAGGCUGUCUCCACCCGAGACUCAGUGAAAUUGAACUCGCUGUGAAGAUGCAGUGUACCCGCGGCAAGACGGAAAGACCCCGUGAACCUUUACUAUAGCUUGACACUGAACAUUGAGCCUUGAUGUGUAGGAUAGGUGGGAGGCUUAGAAGUGUGGACGCCAGUCUGCAUGGAGCCGACCUUGAAAUACCACCCUUUAAUGUUUGAUGUUCUAACGUUGACCCGUAAUCCGGGUUGCGGACAGUGUCUGGUGGGUAGUUUGACUGGGGCGGUCUCCUCCUAAAGAGUAACGGAGGAGCACGAAGGUUGGCUAAUCCUGGUCGGACAUCAGGAGGUUAGUGCAAUGGCAUAAGCCAGCUUGACUGCGAGCGUGACGGCGCGAGCAGGUGCGAAAGCAGGUCAUAGUGAUCCGGUGGUUCUGAAUGGAAGGGCCAUCGCUCAACGGAUAAAAGGUACUCCGGGGAUAACAGGCUGAUACCGCCCAAGAGUUCAUAUCGACGGCGGUGUUUGGCACCUCGAUGUCGGCUCAUCACAUCCUGGGGCUGAAGUAGGUCCCAAGGGUAUGGCUGUUCGCCAUUUAAAGUGGUACGCGAGCUGGGUUUAGAACGUCGUGAGACAGUUCGGUCCCUAUCUGCCGUGGGCGCUGGAGAACUGAGGGGGGCUGCUCCUAGUACGAGAGGACCGGAGUGGACGCAUCACUGGUGUUCGGGUUGUCAUGCCAAUGGCACUGCCCGGUAGCUAAAUGCGGAAGAGAUAAGUGCUGAAAGCAUCUAAGCACGAAACUUGCCCCGAGAUGAGUUCUCCCUGACCCUUUAAGGGUCCUGAAGGAACGUUGAAGACGACGACGUUGAUAGGCCGGGUGUGUAAGCGCAGCGAUGCGUUGAGCUAACCGGUACUAAUGAACCGUGAGGCUUAACCUU